UGCGUUGCGCAGUGGCAAUAUCGUAACCAAUGAAGGUCUCCUGAGAUGCGAUUAUUGCUAGUUGAAAAGUUUUACAAAUACCCCGUCAUGAAGUUUUGAAAAACCAACUAGGCGUCAAGGU
rnacentral:snRNA from 1 species